rnacentral:lncRNA from 1 species
AGUCGAGUCAUCUACAAUAGCAAAACACAAAAUGAUUAGCUCAUGUAUCGAAGGUUUGCACUUUAAAACAUCGAAAGUGCUUCUGACCUAGAAUAAGAUAUAAUUGUAUUGUAGAAUCUAUUAAAUUUAUCUAAGAGCACAGUUCUAAAGAACUUAAAAUAAUUAAAUCCAAAGAUUGUAUUGUUGUUUAAGAAAUUGGUGAAGCACACGAUUCAAAGCGAACAUUGAUAGCAAGUUUCUAAUCUUUCAACCUAUACGAGUUUGAUGAUAUAUUACAAACAAGAAACCCAUAAAUAAUAAGAAUUAAAGGUGACGGAAAACAAACCUUGGAACACCACUAGAUCCGGCAAGAGGAAAAGUUUCGAGAGGGUUUCUGUGAGAUUAC